GACGAACGCUGGCGGCGUGCUUAACACAUGCAAGUCGAACGGAAAGGCCCUGCUUUUGUGGGGUGCUCGAGUGGCGAACGGGUGAGUAACACGUGAGUAACCUGCCCUUGACUUUGGGAUAACUCCAGGAAACUGGGGCUAAUACCGGAUAGGAGCUCCUGCUGCAUGGUGGGGGUUGGAAAGUUUCGGCGGUUGGGGAUGGACUCGCGGCUUAUCAGCUUGUUGGUGGGGUAGUGGCUUACCAAGGCUUUGACGGGUAGCCGGCCUGAGAGGGUGACCGGCCACAUUGGGACUGAGAUACGGCCCAGACUCCUACGGGAGGCAGCAGUGGGGAAUAUUGCACAAUGGGCGGAAGCCUGAUGCAGCAACGCCGCGUGCGGGAUGACGGCCUUCGGGUUGUAAACCGCUUGCGCCUGUGACGAAGCGUGAGUGACGGUAAUGGGUAAAGAAGCACCGGCUAACUACGUG
rnacentral:rRNA from 1 species